AAUAGAUACCCGGGUAGUCCAUGCCGUAAACGUUGGGCACUAGGUGUGGGACCCCCUCAACGGGUUCCGUGCCGUAGCUAACGCAUUAAGUGCCCCGCCUGGGGAAUACGGCCGCAAGGCUAAAACUCAAAGGAAUUGGCGGGGGCCCGCACAAGCAGCGGAGCAUGUUGCUUAAUUCGAGGCAACGCGAAGAACCUUACCUGGGUUUGACAUGUACGGAAAAGCCACAGAGAUGUGGUGUCCUUUUGGGCCGUACACAGGUGGUGCAUGGUUGUCGUCAGCUCGUGUCGUGAGAUGUUGGGUUAAGUCCCGCAACGAGCGCAACCCUUGUCCUAUGUUGCCAGCGGGUAAUGCCGGGGACUCGUAGGAGACUGCCGGGGACAACUCGGAGGAAGGUGGGGAUGACGUCAAAUCAUCAUGCCCCUUAUGCCCAGGGCUGCAAACAUGCUACAAUGGCCAGUACAAAGGGCUGCUAUACCGCGAGGUUGAGCGAAUCCCACAAAGCUGGUCUCAGUUCGGAUUGGAGUCUGCAACUCGACUCC
rnacentral:rRNA from 1 species